UACAGAGGUCUCGAGCGUUAGGCGGAAUCACUGGGCUUAAAGCGUGUGUAGGCGGAUCGUUAAGUACCUUGUGAAAUCCCACGGCUCAACCGUGGAACUGCCGGGCAUACUGGCGAUCUUGAGGCAUUCAGGGGCGAGCGGAACAAGUGGUGGAGCGGUGAAAUGCGUAGAUAUCACUUGGAACGCCAAUGGUGAAAACAGCUCGCUGGGAAUGAUCUGACACUGAGACGCGAAAGCCAGGGGAGCGAACGGG
rnacentral:rRNA from 1 species